AUCCAGCUGACGAGUGGCAAAUAGAGCGAAACACGUGUCCUGGAU
rfam:Schistosoma mattheei strain Denwood, Zambia genome assembly, scaffold: SMTD_contig0011617